GAGGAGUCCUGCUGAUCAGGAGAAGUGAAAGUGAAAUGACUCUCAACAGUAUUUAAAGAGGAAGUUUGGAUUCCCGGAGCUGCAGGCAGACGGAGCGCAGCCGGACCGCUCAGACACGCCGUUGAGCUGUUCUGACCGGACCGCAGCUGAGCGCCCUGGCGAUACUUAUGUUGGUGAGUGGGAUUGUAACGGAACCCAUAAUGCAGCUGUGAUUCAGAGCUCCAGCUGGUUAUGGCGUCCGUUUCCAUCCCACAAUGCACAGGACGACCUGAGUAGAUGGACGGAUGGCAACGCAUUCACUGAAGAGACGUGACUGGAGCAUCCUCCCUGCAAGUCAUGUAUCACUUCUCAGCUGCACGUUAACGUCUGUUGCUUUAUUGUUUACACAAGACAAAAUAAAUAAUCCACAAUUGUAUUUCCAGUAUAAAUAUGCACUGUAAUAUAACUAAUGCGCCUACGUUUAGUUUAUGUAGUGUGACCAAGACAAGCCGGAGCUAACUGCCGUUUCCACUGCAUCGAAGAAGAAAGUGAAAGUACCACUGAGAAUAUUCAAACCUGUGUUGCCAUUUUGAACAAGGUGUAGUAAUGCUGUUUGUAUUGGCUAUGUUUUCUUUGGAUGCCCAGCACUGAAGGUGUUCAUCUUCAAUGACACGUUUUCUCCCGGAUUGCUGACAGCAGUAAAUGCAACCGGGAAUUUCGUGUCAGCCAUGAAAAACACUCAGAGCGUCGAGCUUUCUUCUAUUGAAAAGUUUCCAUUUGAAGAGUACACUGUUGUUUAUUCUGUAUCCUGCUUCUUACUACUAAUUUCUAAUAAAUGUCAGAAUUCAAACAGA